rnacentral:sRNA from 1 species
UGGGGAAGGUGGGACCCCACUGGGUUGUAA